rnacentral:rRNA from 1 species
GUGCCAGCCGCCGCGGUAAUACGGAGGGUGCAAACGUUGCUCGGAAUCAUUGGGCGUAAAGCGCACGUAGGCGGCCCACCAAGUCGGACGUGAAAGCCCUCGGCUUAACCGAGGAAGGGCGCUCGAUACUAGUGGGCUUGAGUACGGGAGAGGAUCGCGGAAUUCCCGGUGUAGAGGUGAAAUUCGUAGAUAUCGGGAGGAACACCAGUGGCGAAGGCGGCGAUCUGGACCGAUACUGACGCUGAGGUGCGAAAGCGUGGGGAGCAAACAGGAUUAGAUACCCCCGUAGUCC